rnacentral:tRNA from 1 species
GAGGGUAUAGCUCAGGGGUAGAGCGCAUGCUUAGCAUGCAUGAGGUCCUGGGUUCAAUCCCUAGUACCUUCA